rnacentral:rRNA from 1 species
UGGAUCCAGACUUUGAUUCUGGCUCAGGACGAACGCUGGCGGCGUGCUUAACACAUGCAAGUCGAACGAAGCUUGAUUUAUGAUUUCUUCGGAAUGAAUAAUGAUAUGACUGAGUGGCGGACGGGUGAGUAACGCGUGAGCAACCUGCCCUUCGGAGGGGGAUAGCGUCUGGAAACGGACGGUAAUACCGCAUAAAGUGUCUUGACCGCAUGAUCGAGAUACCAAAACUGAGGUGCCGAAGGAUGGGCUCGCGUUGGAUUAGAUAGUUGGUGGGGUAACGGCCUACCAAGUCGACGAUCCAUAGCCGGACUGAGAGGUUGAACGGCCACAUUGGGACUGAGACACGGCCCAGACUCCUACGGGAGGCAGCAGUGGGGAAUAUUGCACAAUGGGGGAAACCCUGAUGCAGCAACGCCGCGUGAAGGAAGACGGUUUUCGGAUUGUAAACUUCUGUUCUUAGUGAAGAAUAAUGACGGUAGCUAAGGAGCAAGCCACGGCUAACUACGUGCCAGCAGCCGCGGUAAUACGUAGGUGGCAAGCGUUGUCCGGAAUUACUGGGUGUAAAGGGAGCGCAGGCGGGAAGCCAGGUCAGCUGUGAAAACUACAGGCUUAACUUGUAGACUGCAGUUGAAACUGGUUUUCUUGAGUGAAGUAGAGGUUGGCGGAAUUCCGAGCGUAGCGGUGAAAUGCGUAGAUAUUCGGAGGAACACCGGUGGCGAAGGCGGCCAACUGGGCUUUAACUGACGCUGAGGCUCGAAAGUGUGGGAGCAAACAGGAUUAGAUACCCUGGUAGUCCACACUGUAAACGAUGAUUGCUAGGUGUGGGGGGUCUGACCCCUUCCGUGCCGCAGCUAACGCAAUAAGCGAUCCACCUGGGGAGUACGACCGCAAGA